UAUUAUGUGUUGACGUGCUCCUGUUUUACUGUGAAUUUUUCAAUAAUAAAUUGCAACAAUCAAUUGUUAAGUUAUAAUAAAUCGGUUCAUCAACUCGCUGGCUACCUUUUGUGUGAUAAAUUAUUGCUGGAUGUCACGGAUUUUAGCCAAUAAUUGAGAUUGUUUAAAGCGUCCGAAAGCGGCCGGGUCACGAAAGGACACCAUGGGAUUUCAUGACACAAAAUUGCCGCAGAUUUCCUUGAAUAUGUCAAAAGUUAUCAAACCUGGAUGUACGUCUGAGCAUUUACUCCAAAAAUCGCAGCAG